CAGUCGCCACGGGAAUACGAAGGGUGCAAGCGUUACUCGGAAUUACUGGGCGUAAAGCGUGCGUAGGUGGUGGUUUAAGUCCGUUGUGAAAGCCCUGGGCUCAACCUGGGAAUUGCAGUGGAUACUGGGUCACUAGAGUGUGGUAGAGGAUAGUGGAAUUUCCGGUGUAGCAGUGAAAUGCGUAGAGAUCGGAAGGAACAUCUGUGGCGAAGGCGGCUCACUGGACGACUGUUGACGCUGAGGUACGAAAGCGUGGGGAGCAAACAGGAUUAGAUACCCCUGUAGUCCCUGUCUCUUAUAC
rnacentral:rRNA from 1 species